rnacentral:tRNA from 1 species
GGGCACUUAGCUCAGCGGUAGAGCGCUACAUUCACAUUGUAGAUGCCAGAGGUUCGAAUCCUCUAGUGCCCA